rnacentral:rRNA from 1 species
GACGAACCGUGCAAACGUUGUUCGGAAUCACUGGGCUUAAAGGGCGCGUAGGCGGGCCAGCCAGUCUGUGGUGAAAGCCCCCGGCUUAACCGGGGAAGUGCCGUGGAUACUGCUGGCCUCGAGGAGGGUAGGGGCAUCUGGAACGGUCGGUGGAGCGGUGAAAUGCGUUGAUAUCGACCGGAACUCCGGUGGCGAAGGCGAGGUGCUGGACCCUUUCUGACGCUGAUGCGCGAAAGCCAGGGGAGCAAACGGG